rnacentral:rRNA from 1 species
UACGUAGGCAGCGAGCGUUGUUCGGAGUUACUGGGCGUAAAGGGUGUGUAGGCGGUUCUUUAAGUUUGGUGUGAAAUCUCCCGGCUCAACCGGGAGGGUGCGCCGAAUACUGAGGGACUAGAGUGCGGGAGAGGAAAGUGGAAUUCCUGGUGUAGCGGUGAAAUGCGUAGAUAUCUGGAGGAACACCGGUGGCGAAGGCGGCAUCCUGGACCGGCAUUGACGCUGAGGAGCGAAAGCCAGGGGAGCAAACGGG